rnacentral:misc_RNA from 1 species
CAGGAACCAAAUUUGGAGCUGAAAUGGAGGAAUCGAAAGCAGCGGCGUACUACGAUGAGCUCACUCGUAAAGGAGAAGGGGCAGCAAGGUUCAAGCGAGGUCUCGGUUUUUCCGCCUCCGACUCCAACAGUGACGUGGUCUCCGCGUCCAAGGGCUCCGCUCUGCCUUCGUCGUCUUCCUUCCUCAGUUCUUUUGUUAAAGCCUCAAGCCCUUCCAAGGCCUCCGAGUUCGAAAAGCAAUCGCAGCUCGAGGCCAUUCAGAACAAGCUCAAGAAGAAGAAACCAAGCUCUCCCGGUGGAGAAGAGAGGCGCCCCAGGGCUUUGGAGAGAGAUCGUCGGAAAUCGAGCCCUAGAAGAAGGUCUUUGAGUAAAGAGAGGGAGAGACAUUCGCAUUCGAG